rnacentral:lncRNA from 1 species
UCCGCCCUCCAAUGCUCAGCAGCGGUGGGCUUGCCAGGCACAGGUGCCAGCGUAGCAAAGUGGUUGGUGCUAACCUCAUCUGAGCCUCUUUGGAGCACCCAGGCCCAGGGGUGUGCCACAGCCACCAGUCACUAGGCCCUGGAGAGCUCACACCCACCCUCUCAUUUGCAGCUGAGACCCCACAGGCCCGGGCAGGGGAGGUGUGUGUGUGUCGGGGGCGGGGGGGGGAACCACAUCCCAGGGCUCGUGAGUUCACAUCUGUGCUCCUUCCGCCAUCGCCCCUGAUUUCUCAGCUCGCCGGUUCGAGAACUCUCCCAGCCCCAGACCUGUUGGCAGGCAAGAGGAGUAAGUCAUGUGAGUCAAAAGCAAUUUGCAAACAUAAAUAAUUUUCAAUGCCUGGAGAGGAGACAAGGGGAAGACACACUGAAGGCUGAGAGGAACCUGGCCAGCCCUGCGUCUCCCUGGCCCUGCCUGGUGCUUCCUCUCCCCUCUCCACACUGGCAGGAGGGUCCGGGAGCAUGAGAAACAAAGCAGGAAGUGGCUACAAGGACGCUUGCUUCCGCUGUUCAUAGGAGGGAUUCUGUUUGCCAGGUUCUUCUCUCCCCACCCCCUAACAUCCACAUGAUUUUGUAAUCCCACCUCCUCUCGAGAGUCGGAGGAAAAUAGAUGGUCCCCUGCUUGCAGCUGGAACAGGAGCCCAGGCCUCCUCCCCCCAGGCUGGAUUAUGCCUUGUCCUCAACCCUAAACAGCAUGACCUCAACAAAGAAUGGAUGACAUGCCAUUCAUUAUUCUGUUGUAUUCGUAUAAUCUCAGCAUUCUAUCACGAAAGAGCCUAACACGAUCGUCCCGUGCUUGGUUUGCAUACUGCUUUCCGGAAGUGAAGCGACCCCCCCCAGACUAUCCUGGGGUUUGGUGAUGGGCAUUGGCGCCUUCCCCCAGGAUGCUGUGGCCUUGCCGGCGCGUGCAGCCCCUUUGGAGAGGUUUUGGAGGCUUGGAGGCGUAGCGAGAGCCGAGCUGGUGUCACUUUGGACAGCUGAGCGCGUUAAGCACACCUUUACAAAGCCCACCCCAAGGGGCUGUCUGAAGCGGAGAGAAACAAUGAGAAACCAGAUACCGUGGAAUUAGUGAAGAAUUUCUCAGAUGAAACAGGAAAGGGAGGAAAUCCAGGGAGGUUUACAUGACACCUGGCGCAGGUUGAAAGGAAUCAGGGCCCGUUGUUGGCAAUAUUAAACUCCAGGGUGCGUUCGAAAGGUUCCUUCACUCAGGCAGCAAACCAGAGGUAUUCCUGCCAGUCUGUGACCCUCGUCCAGCCCUAAAUGCUCACACACAGGCACACUCGUGCACGCACACGCAUGCAUCCACACCCGUGCGCAUGCACCUCGGACAUCCUUGGGGAGGGCCAGCUCCCUGCCCCUGCCCAGAGUUGAGAACUUGCAGGAUAUUGGUUAAGCGAAACAGCGUCGCAGGCGAUGUUGGGGGAGCUCUUCUCCCGGGUGAGGCCUUAGCCACACAGCUCGCGUGAAGACCACACAUGAAAAGACAAGAGGGCUGUGGGCUGCGUCUUCUGCUUGUGCUUACAGAGUGUGCAUGCGUGUGCUCGGAGUGACGUGCCUAUCGCUCUCCCGUUCCGAACUGCGCGCUAAAACGAAAUCCGUAACAAUGAGGCAGGUGCUGUGCUGUCAGGAACCGUAUAACACGUACCACCAGCUAAAUACGGAAAUUAAACCGUGAUUCUUCCUGGAACUGACUCCAGGAUUAUCCUUAGGGUCUGUUUCCCUAAAUUCAAUUACCACAUAAUUACCUAGAGCCUCCUGAAACUCUCACAAAUGGAUCAGGUGAAGGAUGAGGGGCGGCAGGACCCCAGAGCAGCUGAGCGUGUGUGUCUGCCCUUGCCUGUGGUAGGGAGAAAGGGAACGGCCUGAGUCCCCAGCCUGUGCUUUGCAGACUGAGCACUGAGGCCCCUGGGGACAGCUCAGGGCCCUUCCUUGGUCUGUGGACCCUGUUAACAUGUUAACAACUUGCAGUGCAGGAAUAAAGCUUCGUCGUCCAAUCACACACACACACACACACACACACACACAGGACUCCAUACACCUACACACAGGACAUCUGAUUCCAAGGUAUUUAUCUAAGAAUGAGAAUAGUGCACAAGCUUCGGGAAUGCAUGAAAUACCCAAGACAUUCCCCUCACCUCCCAAGGUGCUCAAGGCUCUGUCUACUUGGAGAAUGGAGACCCAUACGUAUGUGUAUGUUGUGGGAUGCAAUUGACUGGCGGUGAUGUGGGGGGAGGCAGUCAAUAAUGCAGGAUUUCAGGGCACAGCCAGCCUUGAUAAAGGCUGGAAUAAUCUAGAACAACCCCAGGGAGGGGAUGGGGUCUGAAUCGGCAUUCUGAAGGCCCCUCAGCAUCCUGGAAGGUGGGAGCAUAGCCUCUGGAGACAGACAAGUCUAUCUCUGAACCCCUGUGUGUGUCCCCGUUUACCGGACAAUCGACCUCAGACAGGUUCCUCAAGCCUCUAAGCCUUCAUUUUACCAUCUGUGAGACAGGGACAAUGACAGGACCUACCUCAUGAAGAUGUGUGAGCAUUGAAUGAGAUUAUCCCUCUAAAUAAAGGUCCCCAUUCAUAAUGAGCACUCAGUCAAUGUCAGCUGUUACCAGUAAUUGCAAAGGGAAGAGAGGGGGAGUGGACGGGCUUGGGAGGGAGGGGGGGGCAGUGAUUUCUGAACUAUAGCUGCAGGAAAUGGAUACUAGCCCAGGAAUAACUAUUUCCUCUUCUGAGUUCUUACCUUCUCACACGAGUGGUAAACAUAAUACGGAACCAUAGGAGGAAUUUGUUUCAAAGAGUAGGCAAGUGCAGGUUUGGCUCAGGGGGUCUCAUCCUGACUCUCACGUCCCAGUGUUAUUCUCGGUGACCCAAUAAAACCGGAGGGGUUGAGGAGGAGGUCCCAGGUCAGUGGGCAAUCCACCAAGCAGGUGGUGAGGACAGCAACGCAAGGUGGUGUCCACUGGGUUAUAGAGAGAGGGAAGGAGGGAGGGAGGCAGGGAGGGUUGGCAGUCAGUUUCGAGGUAAACAUCGCUGGGUAGCUGUCCCUCCGUCAAGCUGAGGCUCUAGGCCAGAAGUCGUUAGAAGGCGUUUGGAUCUGACGAGGGAUGUUUAAUGUUCCCUGGUAAAAAAAUAACCUGUGUGUUUACUUAGGGGGUUUUCCAGAAGCGCUCAAGGCUCUCUCCUGACCCAGUUCGUCCUCAAAGCACAUCUUCGAAGGGGACAAGGAAACUGAAGGGCCAGGUUUUUUGAUGGGGUGGGGGGGACUGCAACUGGAUCUGUCCUGCCCCUUCUUACAUGUUCUAGAAGUUUGCUGUUUGGGGUGGGCUGGAGGGAGGAAGAGACUCUAUCCAGGGGCCCGGGGUGGACCAGCUCUGGCCUUUCUUCACUCUUUUGUCCAGUUGUGUCACAUGUGGGCCCCACGCCCACCUUAAAUCACAGGUGACAGUGGGGGCCCCACCGUGACACGGCACACAUUCCAUGCCUCGCCAACAUAUUCCGUGUCCUUACGACGAGGGUGCUGCCACAACCCGAGUUGCUCAGCUCUGUACCUUCUCUCUCCCGUAGGACUGAGCCGUCCCUGUGGGCAGGGACUGACCACGUUGGCUAGUCAGGAUCCAAAUAGGGUUUCCAGAUAAAAUCCUGAAUGUCCAGUGAAACCUGAAUUCCUAUAAACGAUGCAUUGUCUUUUCGUAUAUUUCAUGAAACACACUAAAAAAGUAUGCACUGUCCAUGGGGCGCCUGGGGGGCUCAGUCGGUUGAGCCUCCGACUUUGGCUCAGGUCACGAUCUCUCAGUUCGUGGGUUCGAGCCUCGCGUCUGGCUCUGUGCUGACCGCUCAGGGCCUGGAGCCUGCUUCAGAUUCUGUCUGUCUUUCUCUCUCUCUCUGCCCCUCCCCUGCUCACACACACACACACACGCACACA